ensembl:lincRNA Gm13189 predicted gene 13189
AUAACAGUUAGGGAGCAGAGAGAAGCAGCCAAUUGUAUUUCUAAUCAGUGGCACAGACACCAAGGGCUACUGUGGAAGGCUCUUGUUGGCCCUAUGGAUUAUAGUGGUCAGAGCCAGCAAGAUGGCUUAGCAGCUGAUGGAAAUCCAGGCAUCUCUGAUGGCUUCAGGCACUGGGACCUAUUCUUCUGUUCAUAGAAAAUAAAAGGAUUGGCGUUUCGCUCGUAAGGGACACAUUUAAAUAUCAAGGUAAAG